rnacentral:sRNA from 1 species
UGUGCCGAGGGAAUGGCACAGGCUUUCAAGGAAGAGGGCCAAGGACAUCGCAGGAAGCGAUUCAUCAGGAUGAUGAAUAAAGGAAUAGAGGGAUUAAGUAAAAAAAGGGGGGCGGGUCAUACCGCCCCUUUUUUU